UACGUAGGGUGCGAGCGUUAAUCGGAAUUACUGGGCGUAAAGCGUGCGCAGGCGGUUUGUUAAGACAGAUGUGAAAUCCCCGGGCUUAACCUGGGAACUGCAUUUGUGACUGGCAAGCUAGAGUAUGGCAGAGGGGGGUAGAAUUCCACGUGUAGCAGUGAAAUGCGUAGAGAUGUGGAGGAAUACCGAUGGCGAAGGCAAUCCCCUGGACCUGUACUGACGCUCAUGCACGAAAGCGUGGGGAGCAAACAGG
rnacentral:rRNA from 1 species